rnacentral:rRNA from 1 species
UACGGAAGGCAGCAGUGGGGAAUAUUGCACAAUGGGCGAAAGCCUGAUGCAGCUAUGCCGCGUGUAUGAAGAAGGCCUUAGGGUUGUAAAGUACUUUCAUCGGGGAGGAAAAAACAAAACUAAUAAUUUUAUUUCUUGACGUUACCCGAAAAAGAAGCACCGGCUAACUCCGUGCCAGCAGCCGCGGUAAUACGGAGGGUGCUAGCGUUAAUCAGAAUUACUGGGCGUAAAGAGCACGUAGGUUGGUUUUUUUAAGUCAGAUGUGAAAUCCCUGGGCUUAACCUAGGAACUGCAUUUUGAAACUGAAAUACUAGAGUAUCGUAGAGGGAGGUAGAAUUCUAGGUGUAGGCGGUGAAAUGCGUAGAUAUCUGGAGGAAUACCUGUGGCGAAAGCGGCCUCCUAAACGAAUACUGACACUGAGGGUGCGAAAGCGUGGGGAGCAAACGAGGAUUAGAUACC